rnacentral:rRNA from 1 species
GAUAAACGCUAGCGGCAGGCUUAACACCUGCAAGUCGAGGGGCAGCAUAGAUUGUAGCAAUACAAUUGGUGGCGACCGGCGCACGGGUGCGUAACGCGUAUGCAACCUACCCGUCACAGGGGGAUAAUCCGGAGAAAUCCGGUCUAAUACCCCAUAACAUAUGGAUCGGCAUCGGUUCAUGUUGAAAUUUUCGGAGGUGACGGAUGGGCAUGCGUAGCAUUAGCUUGUUGGUGAGGUAACGGCUCACCAAGGCGACGAUGCUUAGGGGGACUGAGAGGUUUUCCCCCCACACUGGUACUGAGACACGGACCAGACUCCUACGGGAGGCAGCAGUGAGGAAUAUUGGUCAAUGGGCGCAAGCCUGAACCAGCCAUGCCGCGUGCAGGAUGACGGCUCUAUGAGUUGUAAACUGCUUUUGUACGAGGGUAAAGUGGGUUACGUGUAACCUUUUGAAAGUAUCGUACGAAUAAGGAUCGGCUAACUCCGUGCCAGCAGCCGCAGUAA